rnacentral:rRNA from 1 species
CCUACGGGGGGCUGCAGUGGGGAAUCUUGCGCAAUGGGCGAAAGCCUGACGCAGCCAUGCCGCGUGAAUGAUGAAGGUCUUAGGAUUGUAAAAUUCUUUCACCGGGGACGAUAAUGACGGUACCCGGAGAAGAAGCCCCGGCUAACUUCGUGCCAGCAGCCGCGGUAAUACGAAGGGGGCUAGCGUUGCUCGGAAUUACUGGGCGUAAAGGGCGCGUAGGCGGACAUUUAAGUCAGGGGUGAAAUCCCGGGGGUCAAACUCGGAAUUGCCUUUGAUACUGGGUGUCUUUGGUAUGAGAGAGGUGUGUGGAACUCCGAGGGUAGAGGUGAAAUUUGGAGAUAUUCGGAAGGACAACAGUGGCGAAGGGGACACACUGGCUCAUUACUGACGCUGAGGCUCGAAAGCGUGGGGAGCAAACAGGAUUAGAUACCCCAGUAGUC